UACGUAGGGGGCGAGCGUUGUCCGGAUUUAUUGGGCGUAAAGAGCGUGUAGGCGGCCAGGUAGGUCUGCUGUGAAAACUCGAGGCUCAACCUCGAGACGUCGGCGGAAACCAUCUGGCUAGAGUCCGGAAGAGGAGAGUGGGAUUCCUGGUGUAGCGGUGAAAUGCGCAGAUAUCAGGAAGAACACCCGUGGCGAAGGCGGCUCUCUGGGACGGUACUGACGCUGAGACGCGAAAGCGUGGGGAGCGAACAGG
rnacentral:rRNA from 1 species